rnacentral:lncRNA from 1 species
UCGCACCUUAGUGAGAUUGAGUUGGGUCACUUCGAGUUGCUGUCGUCUUUAUCUUCAGAGUCAGAGGUUUAUUUUCCUUGUACCAGAUUUAAAGCCUCCGUCUUUAUCUUCAGAGUCAGAGGUUUAUCACUUUUAUUUAUUUACUUGUCUCGCUUUAUUUUAUUUAUUUUCUUUCUACGCUUUACUUUAUUUAUUUUCUGUCUACGCUUUACUUUAUUUACUUUCUGUCUAUGCUUUACUUUAUUUACUUUCUGUCUACGCUUUAUUUUUAUUUAUUUUCUGUCUAUGCUUUACUUUAUUUACUUUCUGUCUACGCUUUAUUUUUAUUUACUUUCUGUCUACGCUUUACAUUAUU